CGGCAGCGACUGCGUCUCGAGCGGUGCCUCUUCAGUUUUCGGCCCAAGCGCGAGCACGCCUUGGCCGACGUCGGUUUCCUGUGCUGAAUUCCUAGCGAACGGCAGUCCCUCGGCGACACUCGUCCCUCGCUCCUCCCCUCGAAGCGGCUCCUCACGGAGACGCGUCGCGGGGAGGACAUCGAAGCCGCCCUCGCGUUUCGCGCUCCGAGCACUCGUCCCGCACGAUCGCUCGGUCCGUCGACCCGCGGGGGCGCGCUCGGUCCCUCGGAUGCGGAAAAUCAAGCGGCUACGAGGCCACGGCCUCNAUCUGUCCCUCUACUAANGAGAGCUCCCUGCGGACGACCGUCGUCCGGGCCUCGCUCCGCUGCCCCCGCGGCUCGGAGCGUGCCCGGCCGGCGUCGACGAGGAAUGCUACCUGGUUGAUCCUGCCAGUAGUCAUAUG
rnacentral:misc_RNA from 1 species